rnacentral:rRNA from 1 species
GGGUAUAGACCCGAAACCCGGUGAUCUAGCCAUGGGCAGGUUGAAGGUUGGGUAACACUAACUGGAGGACCGAACCGACUAAUGUUGAAAAAUUAGCGGAUGACUUGUGGCUGGGGGUGAAAGGCCAAUCAAACCGGGAGAUAGCUGGUUCUCCCCGAAAGCUAUUUAGGUAGCGCCUCGUGAAUUCAUCUCCGGGGGUAGAGCACUGUUUCGGCAAGGGGGUCAUCCCGACUUACCAACCCGAUGCAAACUGCGAAUACCGGAGAAUGUUAUCACGGGAGACACACGGCGGGUGCUAACGUCCGUCGUGAAGAGGGAAACAACCCAGACCGCCAGCUAAGGUCCCAAAGUCAUGGUUAAGUGGGAAACGAUGUGGGAAGGCCCAGACAGCCAGGAUGUUGGCUUAGAAGCAGCCAUCAUUUAAAGAAAGCGUAAUAGCUCACUGGUCGAGUCGGCCUGCGCGGAAGAUGUAACGGGGCUAAACCAUGCACCGAAGCUGCGGCAGCGACACUGUGUGUUGUUGGGUAGGGGAGCGUUCUGUAAGCCUGUGAAGGUGUGCUGUGAGGCAUGCUGGAGGUAUCAGAAGUGCGAAUGCUGACAUAAGUAACGAUAAAGCGGGUGAAAAGCCCGCUCGCCGGAAGACCAAGGGUUCCUGUCCAACGUUAAUCGGGGCAGGGUGAGUCGACCCCUAAGGCGAGGCCGAAAGGCGUAGUCGAUGGGAAACAGGUUAAUAUUCCUGUACUUGGUGUUACUGCGAAGGGGGGACGGAGAAGGCUAUGUUGGCCGGGCGACGGUUGUCCCGGUUUAAGCGUGUAGGCUGGUUUUCCAGGCAAAUCCGGAAAAUCAAGGCUGAGGCGUGAUGACGAGGCACUACGGUGCUGAAGCAACAAAUGCCCUGCUUCCAGGAAAAGCCUCUAAGCAUCAGGUAACAUCAAAUCGUACCCCAAACCGACACAGGUGGUCAGGUAGAGAAUACCAAGGCGCUUGAGAGAACUCGGGUGAAGGAACUAGGCAAAAUGGUGCCGUAACUUCGGGAGAAGGCACGCUGAUAUGUAGGUGAAGUCCCUCGCGGAUGGAGCUGAAAUCAGUCGAAGAUACCAGCUGGCUGCAACUGUUUAUUAAAAACACAGCACUGUGCAAACACGAAAGUGGACGUAUACGGUGUGACGCCUGCCCGGUGCCGGAAGGUUAAUUGAUGGGGUCAGCGCAAGCGAAGCUCUUGAUCGAAGCCCCGGUAAACGGCGGCCGUAACUAUAACGGUCCUAAGGUAGCGAAAUUCCUUGUCGGGUAAGUUCCGACCUGCACGAAUGGCGUAAUGAUGGCCAGGCUGUCUCCACCCGAGACUCAGUGAAAUUGAACUCGCUGUGAAGAUGCAGUGUACCCGCGGCAAGACGGAAAGACCCCGUGAACCUUUACUAUAGCUUGACACUGAACAUUGAGCCUUGAUGUGUAGGAUAGGUGGGAGGCUUUGAAGUGUGGACGCCAGUCUGCAUGGAGCCGACCUUGAAAUACCACCCUUUAAUGUUUGAUGUUCUAACGUGGACCCGUGAUCCGGGUUGCGGACAGUGUCUGGUGGGUAGUUUGACUGGGGCGGUCUCCUCCUAAAGAGUAACGGAGGAGCACGAAGGUUGGCUAAUCCUGGUCGGACAUCAGGAGGUUAGUGCAAUGGCAUAAGCCAGCUUGACUGCGAGCGUGACGGCGCGAGCAGGUGCGAAAGCAGGUCAUAGUGAUCCGGUGGUUCUGAAUGGAAGGGCCAUCGCUCAACGGAUAAAAGGUACUCCGGGGAUAACAGGCUGAUACCGCCCAAGAGUUCAUAUCGACGGCGGUGUUUGGCACCUCGAUGUCGGCUCAUCACAUCCUGGGGCUGAAGUAGGUCCCAAGGGUAUGGCUGUUCGCCAUUUAAAGUGGUACGCGAGCUGGGUUUAGAACGUCGUGAGACAGUUCGGUCCCUAUCUGCCGUGGGCGCUGGAGAACUGAGGGGGGCUGCUCCUAGUACGAGAGGACCGGAGUGGACGCAUCACUGGUGUUCGGGUUGUCAUGCCAAUGGCACUGCCCGGUAGCUAAAUGCGGAAGAGAUAAGUGCUGAAAGCAUCUAAGCACGAAACUUGCCCCGAGAUGAGUUCUCCCUGACCCUUUAAGGGUCCUGAAGGAACGUUGAAGACGACGACGUUGAUAGGCCGGGUGUGUAAGCGCAGCGAUGCGUUGAGCUAACCGGUACUAAUGAACCGUGAGGCUUAACCUUACAACGCCGAAGGUGUUU